CGUGAGUUUGUCAUCAUUUUUUAUCUAGACAUAGGAUAGGUUGUGUGAAAAUAUUACUGAUGUUUAACGUUAAAAAUGGACCAAAAGAUUAAUGCUAAACAACAUUUGACAUGUUUGAAUGAACAUAAAAAGAUUAUUUACUAGUUUUUUUUUUAGCUUUUCGGCGUGAUUUUACCAGCCCCCCACCACGUUUUGUGGGAGCAUAAUGAACGCUAAGUACUUGGUGUUAUUUGGACAUAAAUUAUGAACUUUGUCAAAAGAAACCACAUUUGUUCCGGACCUGGAAUGCCUUCCGGACCUGGGAUCCUGCCUUCUGAUGGAGAUAAUCAAAGCUCAUCAACUUUGUUAUCCAAAGACGGAAGCGGUGGAUGGUGUGCGCGCCUCCUAAGUCGAACCAGCAGGCCGCCUCGAGUGCCUCUCCUCCGCCGGCGAUGUUUUGGGUCGGCCUCUGCAAUAAGUUCAACUGCUCUGGGGAGAGUGAACAAAGGAUCUGCUCCAGGGAAGUCGUAUUACUGAUCGUAAUGCUGGUAGUUCUGGUGAGUUACUGCCGCUCUAAUGUCCAAUAGUUCUUCCCGGCUAAUAUUGUAAAAAAUAGUACAUAAAAAAACGAAAUACGGCAAAGUUUUCGAAGAGCUAGUCGUGAUGCUGCCAUCUCCGUUGGCACCAUUUUCUAUGGAUAAAAACAAGCUGAUUUCAAAAGACCCAGGUGGGACUUGAACCCACAAUCCCCAGCUCCGGAGGCUGAUGCCUUAUCCAUUAGGCCACUGGGCCAAUGACUGCUUCCUUUUGGUCUCAUGUUGCCCACAAUUAAACUUCCUUGUUUAUUUCAAUUUCCAUGUUAUUGCAAAGCAGAGAUGUCACUAGAGAUUCAUGGAUAGGGGGGCUAAGCCUCUUUUAAGGGGGACAGGGCAUACUCCCCCAGGAUUUGUUUUAAAGCCCCAAAACGUAUUUUCAUCAUAUAUUUUGAAAGUAACAACGGGUGUAAAAUCUAUCAAAAUAAGAUUAUUUUUGGUCAAGGUUUGAUAAAAGUAUACCUGUCUCAUAGUUUCUGUGUAAUGAACACGAUGGGAGACAGAGAGCUGGUUUCAAGUGCAGGGUGCAGGAAGUGUUUAUUGGUAAAGGACCACAGGAGGAGGCAGGUAGCUAGGUCCAGGGGCAGACAGAAGGUCAUACACAGGGGUCCAAAAAGGUAACAGUACAGACAGGGAAAACGCUAGUAAUGUCAUCCAGGAGAUCAGGCAAUAGGUUGAUAACAGGAAAUCCAAUAGGCUAAAGUACAGGCAGGGAAUAGGCAAAAGGUGUCGUUAGUGAGGCAGGCCAAAACUAUCAUACACGGGAGGAUUAAAUUACGGGAAAAACAGAGCUCUGAAUAGAAGUGUGUCACAAAACAAACAAUACCUCACAAUGAUGUGGUGCAAAGAACGGAAAUGAAUAGUGUGUUAUAAUGAUAUACAGGUGUGUGAACACGUGAUCAGAAUUCAGGUGAUUGGGAUCUGGAGAGUGAGCUGCCUUCAGAGGAUCUAUGUGUUUGAGAGUGUGAGUUGGAAGCAGACGUUACAUUGUGUUAGACACUGAUCUAAUAUGACUUACUUAAAUUCUCUCCAAAGAAGUCCACUCUGUCCCCAUCCAUCCAACAACAAAAGGCACAAAAAUGGCUGUACUAUGUAGCCAAAAUACUUAGGGAUUUUAUUUUGAGAGAGAGAGAGGAGAGGAGAGAGAGAAAGGUUCAGGUCAUGUUAUAUCAUUAGAAAAAAACUGUAUCAUCCACAAAGGGGCAGAACUAAAUUCAACUAAUGAGCUAAAUAAAAUAAAAAAACUGAAAAAUAAUUAGGAAUAAAAUCUGAUCAAAAAGUAAGAUCCCAAACAAAUAUUAGAACCUAUAUUAAGGAACUGCUCCUCCUGCUUCUCUCUUUUGAUGCUUAUUUUGUGGGUGGACGCAUCAAAGUGUACCUCCUAUUUUUAAAGGUUGCAAAGUGGUCAAUGACACUAUUGUGGCUUAGUGGCCCAAACACUUCACCCUCAAUGGACAUGGCUGCAAGACUUGCAGGCUUUUCUGACCCAUUGUCUUACGCAACCAGGAGUGCAUCUGGCGCAGUGCACUAAGGGACCUUUCACAGGAGCAGCUGCUCACAGGAAUUGUGAGGGCAACCUGAAUGAUUUCUUCAGAGAAGGAAACUUAUCAUCAUCCAGGAGGUUAUGCACAGCAAGCACAUCCAGCCUCUCUUUUCCGGGCAAGAAAGUUUCCGGCCACCAACAUCUCUUCUGUUUUAACCUCAAUACUGUAGUGCUUGGCAAACUCAGUUAAGCAUGAUGUAUCAAGGAAGUUUUUUGAGUUGGGUUAAAAUGCCUGUAUGCCUUUGAUCAGACCUGCAUCUACAGUCGAGAAUACAUCUUGUCCAUGCAGGGGAGCAACAACUCUGUUUUCAUUGUUUGGGAACAUGACAAUUCUGUACCUAAACCCAAGGAGGUCUCCACCACAAAAUCUACCAUUGUCCUUUGUUUGCUAUUUCUUCCUCUGGAAUAUUGUGAAUUUCAAAGAGUGCUUGUGGUUCUGUCAUAAAGUUCUAGGGCAAAUGCAUCUGUGCAUUUGCCUAUCAGUGUGUCACAUACAGCUUGUUUGCCAGAACAAGCUUCUGCCAGGCCUACAGUCUCUUUCUGGAGGAACUUAUGUAGUACCUCAGUUAUAGAAAGAAGGCACUGAAACAUCAGUAGCAAAUACAUGGUGGAGAACUUAUGAAGCUUUGCUCUCAGACCAACAGCCAUGGGGGAUCCAAUGGCAGAUAGACAAUCAAAUAGAGCAGUUAAAGUGUCCAGGACUGCAUUCAUGGACCGCAGCUGGCACGCCCAGCGAGUGUUUGAGAACUGUACAAGUUCAGCUGAUGCUAUUCCAAGUUUGAACUUGUGGUGGUUAACUAGGGAUAAACUGAAAAACAAAAACACAUUCUCCAAGAAAUUGAAAAACUCAGCAGCCUCCGGAAUAGCCCUGCAAGUAUGACACAAUACCAAAUUAAACUCAUGAGCAUAGCAAUGUACAUAAAUUGCCUCCGGAUGCAGCACUCUGAAAUGUGCUUGCACACCUCCUUUGGACCCACUCAUGACAGCUGCACCAUCAUAGGUCUGUGCAACCCACUUUAGGCCUGCUACCCCUCCCAUUUGGAGCUGCUGUUGCAACUAAUUUGCUUUCGAUUGGGCAUCAAAUGACUUAAUUUCUGCUUGUGCUAGUAAAAGCUCCUUAACUGUCCCCUCUGUCACAUACAGUUGAAUUUUAAUGACUCCAACCUAAGUGUAUGUCAACUUCCGACUUCAACUGUAUGUUCUGUGAGCCAUGAGAAUGACAACAAUGGCAGUGUAUGCGUUUGAUUGUGUCCUCACGUUGGGCCAGGAGAAUCAUUAACCUUUUUCUCAUACAAAUUCCCCAUAUUGGCAAUAGCCAAUAUUGCCAAUAUGAUACAAUCUUCUUUUUUAUCCUAGAACAUUUUACUGUGUCCAAUAGUCGGUCGUUGUUCCAGCAAUGUUCAGUGGGUUGCAGACUCUCAGUCCUCAGUAUCAUUUACUUUUAGUCAUUCCAAAUAUUGAGCCCAGUAGAUAGGUUACCUAAUACAGGGUAUAACUCACAUAAUGGUUGUAGUUAAAUCACAUUUCAGUGGAUGGGACAGGUUAAUCAUUAGGAACAGAGGCUUUAGCCAACCCCAUCAUUACAUCACCCAGCCAUCAGGACUCAGGGAAUUGAGUUUGACUGACUGGUUAUACACUAGAAGACCAGUGACACCAGUGACACCAAUUGACCUUGUGUUGGGCUGUCACGUCUACACAGCUGGAGGUGUGAAAAACGGCUGAAUGAAUCCAGACAAUACAGCCAGGUAUAGCAACAGGUACACAACAACAACAACAAAAACACACGCACACACUCUCGGUCUGGUAUCUCCACAUUCAGAGAGCCAUAUUGUAUGUGAUUUUUGGCUUGGCUGGUUUUUGCUGGAUUGUCACGAUUGAGCUGAAUAGGUUUUACUGCAUAUGUUAACCUAAUCCCAAUAUGCACCCCUCCGUAAAGUUUUUAUUUUGCUGGUGACUAGGGAGGAUCAUUUGCAAAGCAAGCAGUAUGGGGAAUAUAUCCUAAGGAAUAAAGUUAUUUCCACUAUAUUUCCUAAUCACACAGAUUAAAUUACCUAUAAAACAGAUCCAUGCCCACACAUUUACUUUUAAUGGUCAUUUAAUUAUUCAUUAGUUCUAAUUUGCAUUUUCUUCUAAUUCAGUCAAUGAUUCAUGAAUAAUGUUAUUACAGUGAGGGGAAAAAAGUAUUUGAUCCCUUGCUGAUUUUGUACGUUUGCCCACUGAC
rnacentral:tRNA from 1 species